CUCUGAUGUUGCCUGGCCUGCUGUGUUCCUCCAGCUCCACACUGUGUUAUCACAAUUAGGCUGCUCUGGGUUCAUCACCUCCAGUGCCACCCGAGGGGUUAUUUCAGAAUCAGCUGAAUGGUGUCACUGAGAACAGUUGGCCCCGAGGUCCUCAUUGGAUAACAUUGCCCUCAAAAGCAGUACCAAGGAACUACAUUUCUGUAGCGCCCUUCAGAAGAGUUGGAGUAUCAAUUUCAAGAGCUCAUGGGGCGGACCAAGAGCCUGGAGAGAACAGGAGCCAUUGGAGAGUACAAUGUAGGGAAAUCGUUAAAGGAGCAGAGAAAGAUCAGAAGCACUCUUCAUUUUGAGGUUAUACAGUGGCCACCUUUGCUUGCCUGCCAAGUAUCUUGAAAAGGCAGGACAAUCUACCUGAAAGAAAAAGUCAUGAGAGAGAUAUCUUCUGGGAAAGGAUGAGAAAUGUGCUGAAUUGUCCAACUGAUUGGCCACAGUAAUUCAAAUAUUGAAAUGAGAACUACAUUAUGAAGAAAGAAAAAACCCCAAAGAGCUGCAGAUGCUGGAAAUCUGAAACCAAAGUAGAAAUUGCUGGAGAAACUGAACAUAUCUGGCAGCAUCUGUGGAAAGAAAGCAGAGGUAACAUAUUUGGUCCAGUGACGAAUAUUGGUUAAUGCCAGUGCUUUAUGACUACCCACCGGUUUCAGAACUUGUGGCACUAAAAUAAACUGGGGUGUACAAAGUCAACUCACGACAGUUUACUGCCACUGAGAUCCCACAGGUCUAAAUAAAUUUAAGAUGUGUAAGAUAUAUCAUAGGUUCUGUGUUCCAGCAGUAACAACUCACUAUUUGAUAAAAAUAAAAAUCCAAACAUAA